rnacentral:lncRNA from 1 species
CUCUGGAUAGAGAAUCAGAGGUGCUCCUUCUCUAGCUUAGUGCUUGAUUUGCCUACAGGAUUCACCACUGCUGGCUGAUGUGGAAGCAAGAAUAUAGGAGAAAAAAAAGCCAUCAACAGCAUCAACAGCUUCAACAAAGCAACAUGUGAAUGCAGUCUAAUCUUCAGGAGAUGAUGCUGAACAGAUCUACUGCAGGAGAGUCAGAGCCAGAGAUACCAAUUCUGCAGGAAGAGCGGUGAAGUAGAGCCCUAAAGACCAAGUCCUGAAGAGCAUCUUGUUUCUUUAUGUGCAUUGCGCUCAUUCUCCUUCAAGGCUACAGCAAAAUUGUUUCUGGAAUGCAGCAAAUGGUAUAAUACAUGUUACAGAUCCCAUUCCUAGUUAGCUGCAAAGCUUCUGCUGCAUUUGGGUUAAGGAGGUAAGAGGCAACAUUUCAUUGUUCAAGAAUUUUUAGGACUGGCUAAAGAAAGACUCAGCUGCAAUUACAAGCCAAGUAAGACCAUGCUGACUUUUCUAUGAUUUUCUCAACACACAGCUGCACAUCUGCCAGUUAGAGCUGGUUGGAAUAUUUCCAGCAAAUCAAAAUUUUUUUGGAAACCUUCCCAUGGAUUACAAGGUCCAAGAUGCUGGGGCUCUUGGAAAACCUUGGACUUGACAGACGUCAACAAGUCAGAGGUGAAUUCCUGAGAGCAUACAAGCAGCUGCCCAGUCUUUAGCCCCUGGGUGAUGUAUCUGCAUGGUUGCACAGGGAUGCUUCAAUUUGGGCUGAAGAAUGGGGAACCCACUCAGUGGAAAACUUCUGGAAAAGAAUGGGUUUUGCAGGAUCUGCUACAGACCAGCUCCAAGAGGGGAAUAGAUGGCUGUGGAUCCCAGAUGGAGUGUUGGACCAGAAAUAUUAUCAAGAAAGCAUCCCUCAAAGUGAUUUCAAUGCUUCCUGCAGUCCUGGGAUAAGACACAUAAACCUGAAAAAAAUGCUGGAGGCAAGAGACAAAGCAGCUUUGGAAGACAGUUCUCAUUCAUGGGCAGGUUGUACAACAGUGGCAAUGGGUUUCAUUCUCAAGACAAAAUGUUUAAAUAGACCUUUCUCCAAAUAUAUUAUCAGUAUAGAAGACAAGAUGUUGGAUCUAAUUCAGUUUUCAUUCAUUCUUCUCCCAGCUGAAAUAGUUUUUGGACAUUUAGUGUGAGAAGUUUCUAAAAAUAGGCAAGAAAUUACAGGAUUGAUGAGAGAGACAGACAUGUCCAUGGGAAAAUGUUGGGUGGCCACAGUACAAGAGGCUCCUCUAUGCCUCAGAAUACUUUGUCUGGUUUUUGCUGAGUUUUAAGCAAAAAUGGAAUUCUCUUGAAUUAUUCAUUAUGUUUUCUUUGGGUCACCUUUCCCUAUAUAUUACACCAGCAAAAUAAACAAGCACUAGGAGUCA